GACGAACGCUGGCGGCGUGCUUAACACAUGCCAGUCGUACGGUAGGCCCUUUCGGGGGUUCCCCAGUGGCGAACGGGUGAGUAACACGUGAGUAACCUGCCCCCAACUUUUGGGUAACGGUAGGAAACUGGUGCCAAUACCUGAUAUGUGCUCCUUCUGCCAGGUGGGGGGUGGAAAGCUCCGGCGGUUGUGGAUGGACUCGCGGCCUAUCAGCUUGUUGGUGGGGUAGUGGCCUUCCAAGGCGGGGACGGGUAGCCGGCCUGGGAGGGUGAACGGCGACAUUGGGACUGAGAUACGGCACAGACACCUACGGGAGGCAGCAGUGGGGAAUAUUGCACAAUGGGCGCAAGCCUGAUGCAGCAACGCCGCGUGCGGGAUGACGGUCUUCGGGUUGUAAACCGCUUUCAGCAGGGACGAAGCUUUUUGUGACGGUACCUGCAGAAGAAGCACCGGCUAACUACGUG
rnacentral:rRNA from 1 species